UAUUGCUGGUUCAGUUCCAGACCAUCACAAUAAAGUGAAUAUCAUGAUAAGGUUUCUCAUGUACAAGGAGGAAAAGAGGCCAAACACGGAAACCCCAUGCAGUGACUGCCUCCUUUGGAUCAGCAUGUUAUGAAAAGUCGGUACCUGCCAUUCUGAUUGACUGAGAGCAACAGAAAACCCCUGAGGCCUUCCGGUUCAGUUGGGAUUGUAAUGAUAGACCAGCAAGACAAAAGCCUGCCAGAACAUUAGCUUCAACUGUAUGACAAUGCCCUUCCCAAGAAGAUAUGAUGCUGUGUAGAUGAAUAUAGAUUGAAAACGUGGAUCCUGUCAGCAGCACUGAUUUCACUCAGAAAACUUGUAUACUGGGAGGAUGCUGUGUCUGCUCAGGGUUAGGACUCCAGCAAUGUGUGAAAAAUUCAUUUUCCCAGCUGCAAACACUCAUGCUUCUAGUUGUACAAGUGGUAACUUGAGGGUCCACGCUAAUGUUGAAGCUUAGACAGAAAUAGGUGUGUGUGUGUGUGUCUAUCCCUGCUACGAAUGAGCAGGUACUUCUUGGCCUAAUCGUAGGGCAUGGGGGAGGAUCCACACAUUGCUCAAAAAUAAAAUUUCUUUCUGGA
rnacentral:lncRNA from 1 species